CUCAUCACCUCUGGUUGCUAUGACCCAGUGACUGCUGGUUUAGUGUGAUGUCAAGGUCAAUUGGACUUCACUGUCAUGUUUCAGAAGCAGAUUGUGAAACUCCUAGAGAAAGAGUGAAGAAACACAUAAGUUGUCUCUGAAGGCUUGUCCUUACACUGUAGUGAAGCUUUGGAAAUGAAGCUCACAGUAUGAAGAGGACACAUAUCGAGAAGACCUUUUCCAAACUUUCAUUGUAUCAAGAAUAGAGGGACUUCCCUGGUGGCGCAGUGGUUA